GUACGGCCGCAAGGUUAAAACUCAAAUGAAUUGACGGGGGCCCGCACAAGCGGUGGAGCAUGUGGUUUAAUUCGAUGCAACGCGAAGAACCUUACCUGGUCUUGACAUCCACAGAACUUUCCAGAGAUGGAUUGGUGCCUUCGGGAACUGUGAGACAGGUGCUGCAUGGCUGUCGUCAGCUCGUGUUGUGAAAUGUUGGGUUAAGUCCCGCAACGAGCGCAACCCUUAUCCUUUGUUGCCAGCGAUUAGGUCGGGAACUCAAAGGAGACUGCCAGUGAUAAACUGGAGGAAGGUGGGGAUGACGUCAAGUCAUCAUGGCCCUUACGACCAGGGCUACACACGUGCUACAAUGGCGCAUACAAAGAGAAGCGACCUCGCGAGAGCAAGCGGACCUCAUAAAGUGCGUCGUAGUCCGGAUUGGAGUCUGCAACUCGACUCCAUGAAGUCGGAAUCGCUAGUAAUCGUGGAUCAGAAUGCCACGGUGAAUACGUUCCCGGGCCUUGUACACACCGCCCGUCACACCAUGGGAGUGGGUUGCAAAAGAAGUAGGUAGCUUAACCUUCGGGAGGGCGCUUACCACUUUGUGAUUCAUGACUGGGGUGAAGUCGUAACAAGGUAACCGUAGGGGAACCUGCGGUUGGAUCACCUCCUUACCUUAAAGAA
rnacentral:rRNA from 1 species